UCCCUGGUGACUCAGAUGGCAAAGGAAUUGCCUGCAAUGCAGGAGACCCAGGUUCAAUCCCUGGUCAGGAAG
rnacentral:tRNA from 1 species